GAACAGGUAAGCUAAUUUAUAAGCUUUUGGGCUCAUAACCCAACAAUGGUUCUAUUCCCCUGUUUA
rnacentral:tRNA from 1 species